AAACGCUUGAAGUCAGUCGCAUCCUUCAGAAAUCAACCUGGCCGUCAGGUCUGGUGCACUUUCUGUUUGGAUGGGUCAGCAUCAAUUUUGAUCGUUGGAUAAAGGCUUGGGGAAUGUGGCAUCUUCGGAUGUGUUAUAGCCCUUGGUUAUACAACGGUUGGGAUUGAGGAACUCAGCACGCCGCAAGGCCGGGUUUUAAACCACGUUCGUGCUUAGGAUGCUGGCAUAAUGGCUUUAAUCGA
rnacentral:rRNA from 1 species